rnacentral:rRNA from 1 species
AGUGAACGCUGGCGGUAGGCUUAACACAUGCAAGUCGAACGGCAGCACAGUAAGAGCUUGCUCUUACGGGUGGCGAGUGGCGGACGGGUGAGGAAUACAUCUGAAUCUACUUUUUCGUGGGGGAUAACGUAGGGAAACUUACGCUAAUACCGCAUACGACCUACGGGUGAAAGCAGGGGAUCUUCGGACCUUGCGCGAUUGAAUGAGCCGAUGUCGGAUUAGCUAGUUGGCGGGGUAAAGGCCCACCAAGGCGACGAUCCGUAGCUGGUCUGAGAGGAUGAUCAGCCACACUGGAACUGAGACACGGUCCAGACUCCUACGGGAGGCAGCAGUGGGGAAUAUUGGACAAUGGGCGCAAGCCUGAUCCAGCCAUACCGCGUGGGUGAAGAAGGCCUUCGGGUUGUAAAGCCCUUUUGUUGGGAAAGAAAAGCAGCAGGUUAAUACCCCGCUGUUCUGACGGUACCCAAAGAAUAAGCACCGGCUAACUUCGUG